AGAGAGGUGUUGGGUUUCCCGGCGCCUGAUCCUGGACCCCAGCAUGAUCCGGGAGUUUUAUCGGCGGAAGCCGGGGGCUCCAGGUGGACCGCCUGGUGGCGGUCGUGGGGGGAGGGGUACUGUCAGAGUCCCUCCCUCUGGACCCAGGUAAAGGCUGGUUUAGGUCUCCCUCUGGUGGAUCUGGGAGAGGUUGGCUUCGCACGCACCUGUCUCAGCUCUGCAAUCGCACACCUGCACCGGAGCCACAAUCACCAGGGGAUAAGAGGGAGAGCCUGACAACCGGCCGACGUCGGAUCGUUACUCACGUCACUUACACCUGUCUGUUCCUGCACGUGGGAGGACCACCGGGCACCGCGCACUGUCAAGGAGAUCAUCACCCGGGACCCCCUCCUUCACCUGCACCCCUCACGCCCGCUCCUGCUGCACCUCCAGUCGUGUUGAUUAAUAAAGUAUUCACUCACCUCC